CCCCUGUUGGCUCAGACGGUAAAGCACCUGCCUACAAUGUGGGAGACCUGGGUUCGAUCCCUGAGUCGGGA
rnacentral:tRNA from 1 species